UACAGAGGUCUCAAGCGUUGUUCGGAUUCAUUGGGCGUAAAGGGCGUGUAGGCGGGAAGGCAAGUCGGGCGUGAAAUCCCCAGGCUCAACCUGGGAACUGCACUCGAAACUGCCUUUCUUGAGUGCCGGAGAGGAAAGCGGAAUUCCUGGUGUAGAGGUGAAAUUCGUAGAUAUCAGGAGGAACACCAGUGGCGAAGGCGGCUUUCUGGACGGUAACUGACGCUGAGACGCGAAAGCGUGGGGGAGCAAACAGGG
rnacentral:rRNA from 1 species